UACAAAGACUAUUCGAAAGUAAAAUAAUAUCUGAUUGAGACAUGCCCCCAAUAAUAGUCAAAACCAAAGUCUAUGAAAUGAUCAAAGUUUGUAAAGAAAUCCAUGACAUGAAAUAGAGCCUUACGAAGUAUGGAAGCUCACCACUUCAAUCCAACACAAGCUGAUUCGAAAUCCAAUCACUGAGCAAGAGGAUUAGUAUGUCCGGUUCCUGCAUCGCGUGGGGAUACAGCCGCCCAAAGAGGGGUUAGUAGGGGAACGCUAGAAUUCACUCAGGAUAAGGAUAAAGUAAUGCCAACUUUUAAGACCAAGUAAGCAAUCAUAUACAUUCACAACCAUACGUAUAUAUAUAUAUAUAAAAUCCAUGUCGGGAAAGGAAAUUGGGUUUAGCAUGCCUUAAAAAUCAUUUAACCUGGGUAUAUGUAGCUUAACCAUCCUAGAACCACCUAUGGGCUAUAUGGGUCCAGUAUUACCCCCUGAAUGGGCCUCGAUACACGUAACCGUACGUACCGGAGUACCAUAGGAGUAGGGAAUUCCUGAGUAUCAUUUGCUCUCCACGAUACAUAUAUACAAAUAUAACUUAGGGGAUUCCCGUAUACCCCAUAAGUAUAUAGUUUCCAUGACCAAUCCUCAUGUCGGCAAACAUGAGUUUUCAGUGUUUGUUCAUUGGACUCACACUUUCACGAUUAGCUAUUACAACCCGUCAUUAUUGCCCAACUAAAACCAUUAGCACACAACCAAACCACCAAUUCCAUUUAUUAUUAACCAAGGCUAUAAGAAGUGGUAUCGUUAUACCGACUAUAGAUUGCAAGCAAUGCCUUAGCCAAUCUUUUUAAAGAUGGGAUUACCAUAUACCUGGAGAUUUCAUUAUCAUCAAGUUUGCUUGGGGGAUUCCCAUGAACCCCACAAGGAGUUCAUUAUUAUGAUUGUUUGGGGGAUUUCUAUGUACCCCAUAAGGUUUUCAAUUAAACCAUAACCAUGACUACCAAGACCUUACCAUUUAACCAUUUAAACCAAUUAGGGUUCCAUUACCCAUGUAUACCAUGCAAAGUUGCAAUAAAAAGUUCAACUAUGUAACCAAAGCAUUCUCAUAGGCAUUUUAUCAAACAUGUUAAGGGCAUAUAGUUUUUAAAACCAAAACCAAGUACCAAUUGACCAUUCCCAUGCAACCACUUGUUCAAACCACCAUUAUAAAAUGAAAACAAUAAGUAAAAACAUGAAUCAACCAUUAAUAACCAAAACUCCCAACUAGGGGUAUACAUAGGUCUGGUUGGUUUGGUUUUUGAUUGAAUAAAAAUCAAACCAAUUAUGUCGGUUUAUUAAAACUAUAAACCAAAUCAAACGAACAUAAAAUCAGUUUUUUCAGUUUAGGUUUUAGUCGGUUCUUUCAAUUUUUUUGAGUUUUAUUGGUUUUUUUAUAAUCUUUAUUUUUUAAAAUUAUAUUGUGAUUGAAGACUAGAUCAAGUAUGUUUUCACUCAUGUUCUAAUGAAAAAACUCAAUUAUGAAAAAUCGAGGAGCGAAAAACGCUCUACAAACUAAAAAGUAAGAUGAAGAGUGAAAAGUUUAGGUUUUAAGUUUAUAUUGAGUUUUGGAUCAUUUUAUUAGUAUAUAUAUAUAUAUAAUAUAUUAUAUAUAUACUAUAUACACAACAUACUUUCUAAACAUUAAAAAUUAAUAAAACUAAUUGAAAAGGUAGAUUAUAAUUAAUAUUUUAUGUAUAAAAAGCUAAAUUAUAUACAUGCAUUUAUACAUACAUAUACACAUACAUACACACACAUAUAUAUAUAUAUAUUUAUAUUAUGUCGGCUUGAUUUGGGUUCGGUUUGACUUUUUUUUUUGGUUAACACCAAACCAAACCAAGAAUGGUCAGUUUUUUUUUUUCAAACGCCAAACCAAUCAAACCAAACUAUAAUUCGGUUUUUUUUCUCGGUUUAGUUUGGUUCUUCGGUUUGGUUCGACUUGAUGGUUUGGUUUGUAUACCCCUACCCCCAACAUAUAAUUCAAAACCCAAAACUAUAUCACAAUUAUGCCAUGAAAAUCAUACAUUAAAUCGUGUCUUUAGUUAAACUAACAAUGAAGGAGGAGUAAUAUGUCUUAGAUUAUGAAUAAAACGAAGAGAAACUACCCUUGUAAGCCCCAAAUUGACCUUAUUGAAGAAACCCCAGCCAUCCUUGACCCAAGAGUCUUAAGAGAAUGUGAGAGUGUUUAAGAGAGUUUGAUUGAUUGCAAAUUGGUUAAUGAAGUCAUAAAAAGGUGCUUUAUGUUGUGGGGUUAUGAGAGGUUAAGAGGGGAAAUGUCCAGAAUACUCCCAACUUGAACUGUACAAAUCUUCCACAAGAAAGUACGACAAUACCCCCUUCCAACCGUACCCUACCAUACGAGUGGUACCCACUAGUCAUACCUUAGGCAUUCCUUGGACCUAAAAACUAUCCAACAUACGACCACCAAGGCCAACUCGUAUCCAAGAAUAAGACAAGUAUCAUAGCACCCCACCUUAGGCAGAAUAGAAUCCUCUAGGCUACACUUAUGGCAUCAUACGAGUUAACAUCAUACUACUAGUACCUUAACAUAUGACUAGUAUGACCCAUUCGUACCUUGGACAGAAACCAUCCAACCACACUGAUUAACACAUGACUAAGACCCCUCUAAAUCAUACUCUAUCAUACAACAAGUACCUACUUUUGACACCCAAUCUUGGCUCGCUCUGUUUUCUUUAAUUAUUUUUUUGUGCUCCUCCACGCUAAAUAAUUUUUCAAAAUAAAUUUUUAUUUCUAUUUCUAUUUCUGUGAAUUUUGAAAGAAUAAAAAAGAGUAUUUAUUUUUCUAUCAUAUUGUAAAACAUUCUAAUUAAAUAUAAUUAAAUAUUUUAACAUCAAGUAUCAAAAAAAUAUCUUCUAGCAAUCACAUUCACAUUUUUUUUCUAAUUUUAUUUUUCAAAUGAUAUUGUGACCAUAUAUAUGUAUAUUUUUAUUAUAUAAAAUAUAUAUUCUUUAUAAGUACGUACAUGCAUUUUUGUUAAUAUUAAAUUGCAAAUGAUAUUAAAUUAGGAUGCUUAUACAAAUUAUGUCUGUAACUUAUAGAGUACGUAUUUUAGGAUAGUAGAGAGCGUCAGUAAAGCUAAUUUCAGCAAAAAAAAGCAUUCAGGCCAAUAAUAACUCAAUUCCAAUUUUUUAUUUCAUCCAAACCCAACUUUUAUUUAUAAAUUUCAGCCAAGAGGCCCUAAAAUUGGCCCAAAACCCAGUUCAAUAUUCAUUUCCACUUCAUCGAUCCACCACACCAUAUCCAUCAAUCACACAUUGCUUCAUCAACGAAAAAACAAAAUUCAUCCACAAGUUAAUCCGAUCCGCUGAUUCUUUCUAAUCCAAGGAUCUCGAAGUUUAAGUUAUUAUUAUAUAUUCAUACAAGUAGGUCUAUAUAAUUUAUUUUUAGUUAUUUAACUAUUUAUUUAUUUAUGUAUUUAUUUCCUUCUUUCCUUUCUUUUUAAAUUAAAUUUGAACCGCCCGAUCAAUGAUCGAACGGAUAAAAAAAUAGUCAUUUUUAAAUCGAUUUUUCAUGUAAUUAUCCGUGCAUACAUACUUUUUCCUUUUUUAUUAUUGUUAUUAUCACUUUUUUAAAAGGCAACUUUUAGGAACGUCCGAUCUUUAGAUCAGACAGAUCAAAACCAGUCAAAAUUCCAACUAUCAAAGACGUCUUUUUCUUUCUCCUCUUCCCAAAGAGAGCAAUGUUCCAUCACUUUUAGCCUUUCCCAAAACAAAACAAUAACAAACACUUAUCUCCUUCUCCUUUCUUUCCCUCUUCCCAUCUUUCUCAAUGAAGAAAACGCUAACCCUCACAACUCACCACCACCUGCACAAAAUUCUCUCAAUUUUGUAUCCCCCAAGCCCGUGAAUCCAAAAAGACAGAGAAGAGCAGUCCCAAAAUGAUACAAAAACCUAUUGUUGAUUUUGAAUCUGCCAUUAGUGGCCCUGAAAAGUCGAUUUGGAGGAGAUUUUUUUGAUUCAAAUCUCCUCCCUCCUUUUUUUCUUCCUGUUUUUUAUCUUUUAAGUUUCAAAUACAGACUUUGAAGUCCAAAUUUGCGCCUAUAAAUGAGGGAGCGCACUUCUCUAUUGGUGGAGGUCUUCAGGAGAAUCAAAUGAGGGGGAUUGACAAGUCGAAAAAAAAAGAAGAAAAACAGAGAGAAAAUUUGAAAAAUAAAGGGGUCAAAAAUUGGGUAAAAGGUAGAAGAAAAAUAGAGUUGAAGGACCAGUGGACAGGGAAAAUGAGGAAAGAAAAGCAAAAAAAAAAAGGAAAAGAAUUCAAAAAAGAGGCAAAAAUUCAUGAGUGAAGCAAAAAUCAGUGGUAAGAGAAGCAACAAAGAAAAUUAAUGAGAAAGAGUGAAAAGGGUACCAGGGAGAAAGGUGGUGAAAAACAGAGAAAAUAGAGUAGAAAACAAUUGGAAAGGGGGGUUGAAGUUGAAAGAAGAGGGCAAGAAAAAACACACGCUGAAAUUGAGAAAACAUCCAAUUCGCCCAAGUCCGUACCUUUGCCUUUUCUCAAUCUUUUGUUAUUUAGUUUAGCGCGAGUGGAGGCAUUCAAUUACGCGUUUGUCAUCAAAAAAUAUCAAUGUCAGAGCCUCAGUUUUGCUACCCCCAAAAGGUAUGGAUUCGUCUUUCACGUCACUUUCAUCUCCCUUUCUUUCUCUUGUUUGGGUCUUCAAGCAUGUUGUUUAGUUUAAAUUAGGUCAAUUCUCAUAUUGAUGUGAUUGAAAAUAUAUUCCUGCAUAAGUUCUGAUAAAGUAAAGUAGCUGUCAAUUCUGAAAAAUCGGGCCUGGAUGUGAAUGUUUAUUAAGUUUACGUUGUCGUUAAUUUCAAAAAUUGGACUUCGAUACUAUAGACAGCCAAUUGGUGUGAAAAUCACCAUAUUUUAUUUACUCGUGUAUUUUUCUAAGUAUGUAUAUGUGUGUUGUUAUUGCUGCGUAUUCCACUCAUAAAUUAGAUCCAAUGAUUGUCGUCAAACAUUCUUCCAAUGUUUGAUUCCUUCUUUCUAGGCAACAGACGUAGUAUAUUAUUCAAACUCUGCAAUUAUUUGACUCCUUUCUUCAACACAAAGAAUGUGGAAUAUUAUUCAUCUUCACCCAUUUUUAACUCUUUUCAGCCAAUGGGUGUGAGGCAUCGUCAAUAAUCCUCCUGCGUUAGAUAUCUCUAUCACAGAACCUCAUUCAUCAACAACGAAACUUGAGAUACUUUUUAAAAGGCAUCAUUUUAUCUCACUUUUAUCAAUUCAUACCGACUAUACAUCUUUAUCACCGCUAUCAAGGCCUCUCUUAACCACCCUUAUUAGCUAUAUUCCCUCUAAAAAAAAAAAAUUAAAAUUGUUCUGAAUCCAAAGUGUCUCAAAAUCUAGAUUUAUCUAUAUCAGUUUGUUUGAACGAAGGCCUACCUCUGGCAAAUAGAGGCUCCAAAAUAUGGGACGCGCUUCCUUGAGAUUGUCAGAAUGUGCUUGUCCAUCGACAUGAGCUAAAUCUUUAACUUUCAUUUAUGUUUGAAUUAUCCCCCGACAAAGGUUGAUUUGUUGAUUGAUAGAACUAGCCGACUUAACCUAUAUCACAAGAAUGAACACCAAUGUCGUCGACCUGACUAGAAGUGUUCCAAAACUAGCCAACGUAUCAGGGACUUUCAAAAGACAAGAUGAUGCAGAUAAAGAUGAACAUAUUCUUCUCUUGGAGCAACAACUCAAGCGUUAAAAGGAGAACUACACCAAGGAAGGGACCCCACACAUCCAUCCAUGACUACUCUACCACGCUCUCCUUUUUUUUCGUCGCUACGAACUUGAAUACCUGAACACUAUCUCUCAGUACAACCUCCCACAACAACUAUUGGCUUAAGAAAUCCAUCAUCACCGUUCGCACCCAUCAACUUGAAUAAAUUUCCUCAUUACAACCCAUAUUUGCUCGUGAUAUUCAACAAACAAAUCACGCUAUAUUUCAAGAACAAUAUAUUUCUCCAAUGUGCGUGACGGAGACACCCGCUUUCACCAUACCUGUAAAAAUUAGGUUUUUGAUGAGUACAAGGACAAAAAAAGAAGAUGAUAUACUCAUAAAUGAUCUUUGUAAUCUAAAGCGGGUGAUGAAACAUCUCCAAGAAACUCAAGGCAACGAGCAUUUGGACUAUGAAGAUUGAUGUAUCCAUUUAGAUGUUGAUUUUCCAAUUAGGUACAAGCCACCUAAGUUCGACUUGUUUGAUGGAACCGGCGAUCCAUAUACUCAUUUAAGAACAUAUUAUGAUAAAUUGGUAGGGAUUGAAAAAAAUGAGAAGCUCAUAAUGAAGUUGUUCAUUAGAAGUUUGUCUGAUGAGGGUCUCACUUGGUACUCCAAACAAUACCCUCAUUUUUGGCAUAAAUGGAGCGACAUGGCUGAAGACUUUAUGAAUCGUUUCAAGUUUAACACAGAAAUCGCACCGGAUAGACUUUCCCUCAUUAGUAUAUAGAAGAAGCCCUCUAUAUCAUUUCAGAAAUUCGCUCGACGAUGGAGGUCUGAGGUAGGAAAAUUCUAACCACCAAUGUCCUAAAGCGUAUUGACAAAGUAUUUUAUCCAUAGUCAAGAAGGGGUCUAUUUUGAAAGGAUGAUGUUUACAUUGAGGCAAAAGUUUGUCGAUUACGUCAAAAUGGGAAAUUUCGUAGUAGAGUCAAUUAACUCUGGAAAGAUUAAAUUGACAAACAACUCGAGCGAAUCUACUUAGUUGGAGUCCAUCAAAGGGGCUAAGGUACAGAAUAAAGGAGAAUAUCUGUUGUGAUACCACACCGAUUUAUACCUACUCAUUUCAAAAUCCUAAUAACUAACUGAUGUAAAUAUCGAAUCACCAACUACAUCAUUCCUACAAUAUCCUACAAAAUUACUUUCAACCCUGAGCUCUCACAUACCAAAAUUCAUUAGACCAUGUGUACCAAUCCAAGUGUUAGUUUAUCAAAAUCAGACACCUUUUACGCUAAGACAAAAUCUGAAAGGUAGGCGCAAUCGAAGUCGCACUCAAUUUUUUGAACCAUUGGCACUUUUGUUUGAGAGACUGAGAGCUGUAAAUUUAUUACAACCCAGGCUGGGGAAUAUUCCUAACCCAUUACCUAAAUAGUUCGAUGAAAUAGAGCGAUGUGUUUUCCACUCCGAAGUUUAGGGGCACGAUACUGAAGAUUGUAAUAAGUUAAGGCAUAAAAUUGAGUACUUGAUCAAGGUCAGGGCAAUCCAAUGUGUCAAAGUGCAACCAAAUGCGAAGAAUGAUCCGGUGCCCAAUCAUGAAAAUAGAGGAGUGUAUAUGACAUGAAGGACAUCAUCCUCCACAUCGAACCGGCAGGGCCUUCUAAUAAGCCACUCUACAGAGAAGUGCUAACUUCAGCGGGAAUACGAUAGAGAUGAAUCCAAGUUGAUCGACUUAGAAGUAGUCAAUAGAGUCUUAUAUUUGAAGGCACAAGAUUUUCUUCUAAUUAUCAUGUAACAGAACUAUGUUCUGACCUGAUUUCUUAUGGUGAGAUACAUAGGCAACCCUCAUCAAGUUCAGUCGUACUUAAGUAGAAUCGUCUUCCCUUUUUGUAAUUGAAACUACGUGUGAUCUGAUUUUUCUUGGCGGGAUACAUAAGCAGCCUAUAUAAGGCUCGGCCCCUUUAUAAUACAAAAUUCCAUCUUUUCUUUAUGACAAGAAAAAUUUCAAUGCGACGAUAUCUAGAAAACUCGGCACGCUCCAUCAAGGAUAUCCCGAUAUAUUCAAUGAAGAAUCAUCGAGAAAGUCUCUCUAAGAGACUGGGGAAAAUUUUGGAGAAUGCUUCAAAAAUCAAUGAAGAAAAGGUCCAAAAUGCUUCAAAAAUCAACGAAGAAAAGGUCCAAAUUCACGUCAAGUCUAGGACGUUCAACUCAAUAUUUUUACAAUCAAGGUUGAUUCGUACCAAAUAACGCCAAGUCAUCACUAAAGCUACAAGGUAUCAAUGGGGGACAACUUGUCUACAAUAUCAAGAGAAAUGCUCUAAGGAUUAAUACGGAAGACACUUUCACCACUUAACCCAAAGGUCUUCUCUACAAAUACUGUUGGAACAUACUAUCGAUCCAAGUGCCUCAGAAUCACGUCGACAAUCAGUACACAAUCGAUUACACUCAUUACGUCAAUCAUAGGGGUCAACCGAAUCUUUAGGUGGCACAUGCCUAUUAAAGGAUUGGAAAGAAAGUGCACGAAACAAGGAAUGAUAAUCUAUACCCACAAUCCCAAGGAGAAUUUCCAAAAAUACACUCAAAAGCAUUCAAGCUUGGAUUACGACUAAUACAUCAAUCGUGAAAUGACGUCUAAAUUGGUUGAUGCUACGACUAUAGUGGACCCAACAAGAGUUCAUAAACGAAGAUGCCUACAAAAUAAGGAGACUGUCAAAGAGGCACCCAAGAAAUAUUUAGAGUUUACGCAAGGAAGACUCGUGCGUAUACCCAAGCCUCUAGCUUCUAGCAAAACGCAAGUCAUUGAGACUACAUAUAAAGAUAGCUUACACAACGCGUUCACUGCUCUCUCACUCAAAAUCGUGCCACGAAGAAUCGACCUUGGGAUAGAAAUUUCAAAACCUGAUUUACAAAAGCAUCAAUCGAAUUAAGGAAUUCUUUGAUGCUAAUCGUUAGCACAAGGAAAAAGCGAUAAGAUGUCAAAGACUAUUACAUAAGAGACACCGCUCAAAAAUGACCAAAUAAGCCUUUGAAGGCAAGCUCAUGAUUAUCAACCUUACCAUUCGCCACCCACCUACCCUUGUGGUCAAAUUUUCUUAAAUCAAAUUAUUAUUAUUAUUAUUAUUAUUAUUAUUAUUAUUAUUAUUAUUAUUAUUAUUAUUAUUAUUAUUAUUAUUAUUAUUAUUAUCAUCAUCAUAUACUCUUUAUUUAAACUAUGCAUUUAUAUAUGUAUUUUUACCUUUACUUUUAGCUACUCUUAACUGCUACUUUUAUAAGUUCUUACAAAUAAAUGAAUAAUAUCAUGAUUUUUUACAUUUCAAGAAUAUGCAAGUCUACUUUACGCAAAAAUUAGUAUGUUAACGCAUUUUGAUACUAUUUAUAGGUUUUAUUUCUUGGCGAGAAACACAUUUGCAUAAAUUUACCCUCGAGAUAAAUAAGUUUUUAUAUUUCGAGACUUACGUAAUAAUUUAUGAUAAAUAAAUAUUUACAUGCCUUUAAAAGUUCUAUCUUCUUUUACCUCAUAAAUAAUCUCUUUAUGCACGUAGCAUUACAUACCUUUAAACUUUAUAUUUUAGCGAAAAUUAUAAAACUUUACAACAAAAUAUUAAGGCUAACUUUAACAUUCCAUUUUCUUUUUGAAGCAUGCAUGUAUAUUUUGCAAUAUAGUAUAUAACAUAUUCGCAUAUCAUAAGUGUACAUUAUAUACUUGGGGGUUUCCUUUAAAUUUGACAAAUAAUUGUGUAGUUAUUAUUGUUUUUGUAAAUAACAAAAUAAAUAUUUUUCUAAACUGAGUUUAACGACUAUCUUCGGAUAGGCUCUGAGGGGUGCCUAACACCUUUCCCUCGAGUAACCCAAAACCCUUACUCAGAAUCUCAAAAUAUUUUCGAAAGACCAAAAUAGAGUCUUCUACAUAAAAAAUUAUUUUUCCUAAUUUUCCUAAAAAGUUAGGUGGUGACUCUAAAAAUGAUUUUCAAAAUCCGAGAGUCACGACAUAACCACCCCAUGUUGUGUGUUGUUUUAAUCGGUUUGAAACAGAGCGCGACACCCACAAGUCGUAUGAUGUCCAGAAACUCAAAAAUUGAGAAAUUCUCUAAGGACCAAAACCCAAGGUGUUUCAAUUCUCCCCCACUUGAAUUAUUCGUCCUCGAAUGAUGGACAAGGCAGUACUAGCACAAUUUAAACCCCUAAAUAUCUCUACUCUUACCUUUAAAAUAGAAAAUAUAAUACCAAGGAAUCAAUUCUUCCUUUAACAAAGUUUGAAAACAAAGACGUUAUGAAGAACACAUACCUUCCGCCCGAAUUCCGGGAGUAGAAAACAAGAAUGGAUACUUGGACUUCCAGUCCUUUUUCGCCUCCCAAGUAGCUUCUUCAACCUUAUGGUUCCUCCAAAGAGCCUUAAUUGAAUCCACAUCUUUGGUCCGCAACCGAUGAACCUGUCGAUCCAAGAUCUCAACCGGGAUCUCCUCAUAGGACAGAGAGUCCAAAAUAUCAAUAUCCUUGAUAGGCACCACUUGAGACGGGUCACCAACACACUUCCUCAACAUAGAUACAUGGAACAUCUGAUGAAUAGAGCUCAAACUAGAAGACAACUCCAAUUCAUAUGCAACCUUACCAACCCUUCUCAAAAUCACAUAAUGACCCAUAUACCGGGGGAUGAGCUUCCCUUUCUUACCAAUCCGAAUCACUUUCUUCAUGGAAGACACCUUUAAGAACACCCUAUCCCCAACCUCAAACUCUAAAUCUCUUCGCCUCACGUCCGCGUAGGACUUUUGGUGACUUUGGGCAGCCUUAACUCUAUUCUGAAUUACCUUCACCUUCUUUGUCUCUUGGUGAACUAAAUUCGGGCUAAACAUAUCCGCUUCACCAACCUUGAACCAUCCAAUAGGAGACCUACAUCUCCUACUAUAUAAUGCCUCAAAAAGGGUCAUCCUAAUACUAAAAUGGUAACUAUUAUUGUAAACAAACUCUACAAGAGGUAGAUACUCAACCCAGCUACUGCCUUAGUCAAUCACACACACAUGAAGCAUAUCCUCCAAUGUAUGAAUAGUUCUUUCUGCUUGCCCAUCCAUUUGCUGUGAAAAGCAAUACUCAGACUAACUUUAGUCCCCAAUCCUUUCUGAAACAACCACCAAAAGUGAGAUGAAAAUUGUGUACCACGAUCAAAUAUGAUAGAAACAGGUACCCCAUGCAGCUUCACAAUCUCUUGGAGGUACAACCUCGCAUAAUCUUCAGCCAAAAAUUUAGUCCUCACUGGAAAAAAGUGACCUGACUUUGUCAUCCCAUCCACGAUGAUCCAAACUGAAUCAAAUUGGUUCCGAGAUCUAGAAAGAUCGAUAACAAAAUCCAGAUUGAUUACUUCCCACUUUCAUUCAGGCAAUUCAAUUUCUUGAUACAACUCUCCGAGCCUUAAGUGCUCAACUUUCACUUAUUGACACACUAAGCACUUAGCCACAAAAUUAGCCACAUCCCUCUUCAUACUAUUCCACCAAUAUAUAUCCUUGAGAUCAUGAUACAUUUUCGGCGAAUCGGGAUGAACAACAUAGCGCAAUUCAUGUGCCUCAGCCAAUAUCCUCUUACGCAAACCAUCUACAUCAGGAACACCUAACCUCUCCUAGUACCGCAGGGUACCAUCACCACUAAUCUAAAAAAUCAUCACCUUCUGCCCGUCUACAUCACCCUUGAUCCUCAUCAAGACAAGAUCUAACACUUUUUUCUCCUUGAUCUCUGCACCAAGAGACGACCGCACCACUUCCUGCACCAAUACACCACCAUCCCCAGAGUCUAAGAGAUGAACUUCAAGGUUAUUCAAGCGGUGAAUAUCCUUCACUAACUCCCUUUUCCACAUGAGCUAAACUCCGCAUAGAGAACCUGCUAAGAACAUUAUCAACCACUUAGCUUUAUCUGGGUGGUAGUAAAGACUCAUGUCAUAGUCCUUGAGAAGCUCAAGCCAUCUCCUCUGCCUAAGAUUAAGCUCUUUCUGAGUGAACACAUACUGCAGACUCUUAUGAUCCGAGAAGAUGUUCACGUGCACUCCAUACAAAUAGUGUCGCUAUAUUUUCAAUGCAAAUACCACAACUAACAGUUUCAAAUCAUGAGUAGGAUAGUUCCUCUAAUGCAUCUUCAACCUAGAAGCAUAGGCUAUCACCUUUCCAUUCUACAUCAGAACACAACCAAGUCCCAUAUGGAACGCAUCAAAAUAGACCACAAACCCAAUAGUGCCUUUAGGUAAAGUUAAAAUCGGAGUCGAAGUUAACUUAUCCUUCAGCCUCUCAAAACUACCCUCACAAGUAUCAGAUUAUAGGAACUUUACCUUCUUCUACGUUAAUUUAGUCAACGGGAUAGCUAUAGAAGAAAAACCCUUCACAAACCUCAUAUAAUAACCAGCUAAACCCAAAAAGCUCUGAAUAUUGGUUGGAGUCGUGGGUCUAGACCACUUCUUAACCACAACAACCUUUUGUGGAUCUACCAUAAUCCCCUUACUAGAAAUAAUAUGACCCAGAAAAGUGACACGUUCAACCAAAAUUUAUAUUUCGAGAAUUUGGCAUACAACUAUUGCUACUUCAAGGUAUAUAACACGAUACAGAGGUAAUUGGCAUGAUCCACCUCACUCUUAGAAUACACCAGGGUGUCACCUAUGAACACAAUGACAAACAGAUCCAAAAACUGAUGAAAGACCCUAUUCAUCAAAUCCAUAAAUAUCACAGGGGCAUUGGUCAACCCGAAAGAUAUCACCAUGAACUCAAAGUGCACAUACCGAGUACGGAGGGCAGUCUUAGGGAUAUCCACCUCCCUAAUCUUAAGUUGAUGAUACCCGGAUUGAAGAUCAUUCUUAGAAAAGAAUUUGACACCUUGCAACUGAUCAAACAAGUCAUCUAUCUUUGGAAGAUGAUACUUGUUCUUAACCGUCACCUUAUUCAACUGCCGAUAAUCAAUUUACAUCCGAAUGAAACCAUUCUUUUUAUACACGAAUAACAUCGGUGCGCCUCACGGGGACAUACUUAGAUAGAUGAAACCCUUAUCCAAAAGAUCUUUAAGUUGCUCCUUAAGCUACUUCAAUUCAGCCGAAGCCAUUCUAUAAGGGGGAAUAAAAAUUGGACGAGUGUCCGUAACUAGGUUAAUUCUAAACUUAAUCUCCCUAUCAGGAGGAACACCAGAAAGGUCAUCAAGGAAGAUCUCAGGAAAUUCAUUCACCAUAGAGACUGAAUACAAGGAAGGACCAUCCAAGUUAGAAUUUUUGACCCAUACUAGAUAAUAGAGACACCCUUUGGAGAUUAAUCCCUGAGCUCUAAGAUAUGAUAUAAACUUCCCCUUAGGAGCUAGGGAACCACCCUCCUAUUCAAUAACCGGCUCGCUAGGGAACCUAAAUACAAUAUUACAGGGUCUAUAUUUUAAGGACGCGUAGCACAAUUGUAGCCAAUCCGUACCUAGAAUAACAUCAAAAUCCACCUUAUCUAACUCAUACAAAUCCAUCAAAGUCUCCUUACUACCAAUUGAUACCACACAUAACCUAUAGACUCUUUCAGCAACCACAGAGUCACCUAUCAGAGUAGAAAAAAAAAAGGGUCCAAAAUAACCUCGGGACCAAAACCAAAAUCCACAGCCACAAAUGGGGUCAUAUAAAAGAGAGUGGACCCUGAAUCAAGUAAACAAUACAUAUCACGAGAAAAAAGUUUAAACAUACCAGUCACAACAUCAGGCGAUGCCUUAGACUGCCGUCGGGUAGUGAGUGCAUAAAGAUAAUUUCAACCACUGCCAGAACUAGAUGGUGCACCCUUUUGUACCGGAGCUAAUUUUGAAGCAAUUGGAACCUUAUCCGCCCCUGAAGCAACCUUACUAAUCGGACAGUUUAUAAGCAUAUGGCUUGGCUGACCACAUUUGAAACACCCGUUUCUCCCUUCAUCACAAAAACCUUGAUGCAACCGACCACAGAACUUAUAAGGGGGAUAUGAUGAAGCCGACUUAGCCCUACUAGCCUGAGAUUAAGUACCCUGUGCCCUGAAGUUGUCGCCACCCUGCUGACGUUUGUCACCCAACGGCUUUAGGUAAGGAGCACUAGUUGUGGAAAAAGAACCAGAACUCCCCCACUUUUUCUUUGGCCACUUAUCGCUAUCCCUAACACUUAGUUGUUGGCCACCACUCUGCUCAGAGAAUCUAAACUUAUUGCCCUGCCUUUUCCUUACCUCAACCUACUUUUUUUCCUCUUCUACCUGAUGCAUAUGAACAACCAACCUAGAGAUAUCCAUGUCCUUGAUAAAAAAAGAAAGUAUUACUUUCAAGGAUUAACUCACAAGAUAGUCCUGAGGCAAACUUCCUUAUCUUGGCCCUCAUAUUCGACACCAUCUUCGAAGCAUACCGAUACAACUGGUGAAACUUCAAGGCAUACUCCUUGACCGUUAUUUUCCCCUAUUUCAAAUUAACAAAUUCCUCUGCUUUCUCUUCUUUCAACUCUUAAGGAAAGAAGCGGUCCAAAAUGCAUUAGAGAAAUUCUCCCACAAUGAUGACUCCUCAACAUCACCCCUUGCCCUAUCCCAUUCCUCGUACCAUUGGUACGUUACAUCCUGCAGCUGAUAGGAUGCAAACUCUACCCCUUCUACAUUAGUAGCAUGUAUAACACAAAAGAUCUUUUCCACCUCAUACAGAAAACCCUGAGGAUCCUCCUCCACCUUAACACCCGUAAAGGUCGGAGGGUCCAACAUCAUAAAAUGGCCAACCCUUAUAGCCUCAGAAAAUGGAGUAACAAGAACACCACGCUCAGCCUGAGAAGCUACCAACUAAGCAAACAUAUGAAUCGACUGACAAAACUCAGUAUUCGUUACGUUAGCCUGAGAAGGACUAGAGAGAAUCAGUGAAACUCCAGAAAAAUUAAAGACUGGACCCCUAGACCGAGUAUGGAUCCCAUGAGUAGAGAGUGUCCCAUUAGUAUUGUCCUCAGUUGGGACAGUAAAGUUUUCAUGAACUUCAUAUCAUUAAGGCAUGAUCUGACAAGCAAACGAAAAUCAGAAGAAUCCAAGACCUUAGACUCUACAACUCAAAAUAAGAUAACAAGAAAGUGAAGCAUUCCUAAAUGCCUUGUAGCAACUCCUUUUGAGUAUAGUGCGCUACGCACCCUUAAAAGAGACCCUACUCGACACGGAUUUGUGGACUCUCAACUGACCAUGAACCCAGGGCUCUGAUACCAUCUUGACACGACCCAAACUAGGGCCUUGUCGUAAUAGGCAUCCCAAGUCCAACCAGGACUAGAGACCACCCCCGAUACCCAACCCAACCAACCAACAUGUACCUUGAGUCGGAUGAAUUCUGAACAUAUAACAAGAUAGCAUGAUUAACCACAUAUAGACUUUGGGAUAGGUCCAAAACCAUGGAUAACCCAAAAAAGUCCAACCAUUCAAAUCUAAACCAACAACCAUAACCAAAACCAAAAUCAAAACCAAAAUAAUGACCAAGUCUAAUCUAUAACAUAACAAAAUGGAACAAUCAUAAACCAAAUACAACCAUACGAUAUCAGCCCUAAUACUACUACCAAGGCUGAAUUUACUACCAACACCUUUUAUACCAACCCAUAGUAGUCCCACAAAGCCUCUAUCCGAAAGUAAAAUAAUAUUGGAUCGGGAAAUGCCCCCGACCAUAGCCAAAACCAAAGUCUAUGAAAUGAUCAAAGUGUGUAAAAAAUCCAUGACAUAAAAUGGAUCUUUCUGAAGUAUGGAAGCUCACCACUUCAAUCCAACACAAGCUGAUCCCGAAUUCGAUCACUGAGCAGGAGGAGUAGUAUGGUUGGUUCCUGCAUUGCAAUGCAGGAAACACAGCCUCCCGAAGAUGGGUUACGGGUGAACUUUAGCAUGCACUCAGGAUAAGAAUAAAGUAAUGCCAAUAUUUAAGUCCAAGUAAGCAACCAUAUACAUUCACAACCAUAUGUAUAUAUAUAUAUAUAUAUAUAUAUAUAUAAUUCAUGCUGGGAAAGAGAAUCGGGUUUAGCAUGCUUCAAAAACCAUUUAACCUGGGAUAUGUAUCUUAACCGCCUUAGAACCACCCACGGGCUAUAUGGGUCCAGUGUUACCCCCUGAACGGGCCCCAAUACAUGUAACCGCACAAAUCGAAGAUACCAUAGGAGUAGGGGAUUUUCGAGUACCCUCCGCACUCCAUGAUACUUAUAUACAAGUGUAACUUAGGGAAUUCUCGUGUACCCCAUAAGUAUAUGGUCACUAUGACCAAUCCUUAUGUCGGCCAACAUGAGUUUUCAGUGUCUGUCCAUUGGACUCACACCUCUACAGUUAGCUAUCACAACCCGCCAUUAUUUUCCAAAUAAAACCAUUAGUACACAACCAAACCACUAAUCCCAUUUAUUAUUAACCAAGGCUAUAAGAAGUGGUAGCGUCAUACCGACUCUAGCUUGCAAGCAAUUUCCUUAGCCAACCUUUUUAAAGAUGGGAUUCCCGUGACCCUAGAGAUUUUAUUAUCAUUAAGUUUGCUUGGGGGAUUCCCAUGUACCCCACAAGGAGUUCAUUAUUAUGAUUGUUUGGGGGAUUCCUAUGUACCCCGUAAGGUUUUCAAUUAAACCAUAACCAUGACCACCAAGACCUUACCAUUUAACCAUUUGAAACCAUUUAAACCAAUUAGGAUUCUAUUACUCAUUUAUACCAUGCAAAGUUUCAAUAAAAAGUCCAACUAUGUAACCAAAGCAUUCUCAUAGGCAUUUUAUCAAACAUGUUGAGGGCAUAUAGUUUCCAAAAUCAAAACCAAGUACCAAUUGACCAUUCCCAUGCAACUACUUGUUCAAACCACCAUUAUAAUAAGAAAACAUAAGUAAAAACAUGGGAAAACAUAAAUCAACCAUUAAUAACCAAAAAUCCCAACAUAUAAUUCAAAAUCCAAAAUCAUAUCACAAUUAUACCAUGAAAACAUACAUUAAAUCAUGUCUUUAGUUGAACUAACAGUGAGAGGCAGUAACAUACCUUAGAUUAUGAAAAAGAUGGAGAUAAACCACCCUUGUAAGCCCUAAAUUGACCUUAUUGAAGAAACCCUAGCCUUCCUUGACCCAAGAGCCCUGAGAGAAUUUGAGAGUGUUUAAGAGAGUUUAAUUGAUUGCAAAUAGGUUAAUGAAGCCCGAAAAAGGUUCUUUAUGUCAUGGGUUAUGAGAGGUUAAGAGGGGAAAUAUCCAGAAUACCCCCAACUUAAACUACAAAUUUCCCGCAUGAAGGUACAACCAUACCCCUUUCAACCGUACCCUACUAUACGAGUGGUACCCAUCACUCGUACCCUAGGCAUCACUUGGACUCAAACACUGUCCAACAUACAACCACCAAGGCCAACUCGUACCCAAGAAUACGAUAAGUAUCCUAGAACUACACCUUAGGCAGAAUAGAAUUCUCUAGGCUAGACUUAGGGCACCAUACGAGUUAACAUUAUACUACUAAUACCCUAACAUACUACUAGUAUGAUCCAUUUAUAUCUUGGACAAAAACUAUCUAACCACACUGAUUAACAUACACCAAGAUCCCCCUAAAUCGUACCUUAUCAUACGAUAAGUACCUACAAGUUGUAUGAUGUCCAGAAGCUCAAAAACCGAGGAAUUUUCUAAGGACCAAAAUUUAGGGUGUUUCAAAUAGCCAUGAAUUAACAUGUAUACUUAUCUAUGCCUGGUUUAUUGCCUAACCUCUUUGAUGAUGCCAAAAGGGGAAAGUAGUUGAGGUAGCUUGCAUUGAUGUAGCUAAGCAGGGAUGUGUUGUGAUCUGUGUUGUGUUGAUCAAAUAUGGAGUUGUUCUCAUGGAUUUCUCUCACUCAAGGAAAAUAUAAUGCUCAUAAACAAGGGAAUAAGGUGUAGGAUAUUUAUAUUCUUCCAGGCAUCAGUGAUAGGGUGAAUUGGUUGGAAAAACUGGGGCAAAGGCUGCUGAGGUACAGAUUGUGUUGUAUGAGGAUAUUUUAAAAAUGUUGAAAGCCUGCAUAGGUUUGUCAUCAUUAAAGGAGGGAAAUUGUUAAGUCCUUAAUUUUGACGAUUGACAAACUAAUAUGUAGACUGUAUGUUGGGACCUGUUUCCUGGAGUUUUGUGAUAACAAAGCUACUAAAAAUUAAGGGGAACAGGUUGGGCUCACCUGUCACUAUCGCGGUCAAUAGUCACAGCUGAUAUAAAGUAUAAAAGUUGGUGUGAAAAGCUGCUGACACUAUUUUGCUUCAACCAAUCUCUCCUAGGUUUUCUUGUGUCACAAUAUAUAUUGCUCAUUUUCCUCAACAAGAAAACCAAUGCUUCCAUAUUCUUACAACUAAAUAUCCUUUGAAGCAAAAAAAAAAAAGACUACAUAUUGCAGCAGAAAACUAAUUGUUCAUCGAAUUGUAUUUUUAUUUCCUUGUUGUACUUGAGUCUCUGUAAUGUUCUUAAACGUUUGCCUACAUUUGCUUAUGAUUGUAGUAGCUGCUGAGGUGCAAACCUUCAUCUUGUAAUCAUCUAGAGUUAGGUGAUUGUUUCAAGCUAGUUUUAGCUUGGUGUGUCCAGUUAGAGUCAGCUGGAGGUCGAAGCAGUAGAGUUGCUGCUUGUGUUUUCCUUGUAAUAGAGUUAUUGCGAGGAAACAAAGGAUUAGGAGGUUAAUCUUUGGAGUCUGUAUUCAAGAAGUUACUUGGAUAUAGUGGAGCUUAGAAAUCCUGGAAGUAGGUCGUGGUUUUUUCUUCCUUGAGCAAAGAGUUUCCACGUUAAAACCUUGUUUCUUCCUUUUACCUUAUUCCUGAACUUCUUGCUUUAUAUAUCUCCUAGUUCUUGUCAUGUGAGUGUAUCUG
rnacentral:lncRNA from 1 species